UACGUAGGUGACAAGCGUUGUCCGGAUUUACUGGGCGUAAAGAGCUCGUAGGUGGUUCGGCAAGUCAGUUCGUGAAAUCUCCGCGCUCAACGCGGAGGGUCAGGCUGAAACUGCUGUGACUUGAGUCUGGUAGGGAGUGUGGAAUUCCCGGUGUAGCGGUGAAAUGCGCAGAUAUCGGGAGGAACACUAGUGGCGAAGGCGGCACUCUGGGCCAGUACUGACACUGAGGAGCGAAAGCGUGGGAGCGAACAGG
rnacentral:rRNA from 1 species